rnacentral:rRNA from 1 species
GACGAACGCUGGCGGCGUGCUUAACACAUGCAAGUCGAGCGGUAAGGCCCUUUCGGGGGUACACGAGCGGCGAACGGGUGAGUAACACGUGGGUGACCUGCCCUCAGCUCUGGGAUAAGCCUGGGAAACCGGGUCUAAUACCGGAUAUGACUCCAUGACGCAUGUUGUGGGUGGAAAGCCUUGUGCGGCUGAGGAUGGGCCCGCGGCCUAUCAGCUUGUUGGUGGGGUGAUGGCCUACCAAGGCGACGACGGGUAGCCGGCCUGAGAGGGCGACCGGCCACACUGGGACUGAGACACGGCCCAGACUCCUACGGGAGGCAGCAGUGGGGAAUCUUGCGCAAUGGGCGAAAGCCUGACGCAGCGACGCCGCGUGAGGGAUGAC